rnacentral:rRNA from 1 species
AUUGAACGCUGGCGGCAGGCUUAACACAUGCAAGUCGAGCGGAGAGAGGUAGCUUGCUACUGAUCUUAGCGGCGGACGGGUGAGUAAUGCUUAGGAAUCUGCCUAUUAGUGGGGGACAACAUUUCGAAAGGAAUGCUAAUACCGCAUACGUCCUACGGGAGAAAGCAGGGGAUCUUCGGACCUUGCGCUAAUAAAUGAGCCUAAGUCGGAUUAGCUAGUUGGUGGGGUAAAGGCCUACCAAGGCGACGAUCUGUAGCGGGUCUGAGAGGAUGAUCCGCCAGACUGGGACUGAGACACGGCGCAGACUCCGACGGGAGGCAGCAGUGGGGAAUAUUGGACAAUGGGCGCAAGCCUGAUCCAGCCAUGCCGCGUGUGUGAAGAAGGCCUUAUGGUUGUAAAGCACUUUAAGCGAGGAGGAGGCUACUUUAGUUAAUACCUAGAGAUAGUGGACGUUACUCGCAGAAUAAGCACCGGCUAACUCUGUGCCAGCAGCCGCAGUAA